rnacentral:misc_RNA from 1 species
GCAAACUUGGUCAUUUAGAGGAAGUAAAAGUCGUAACAAGGUCUCCGUUGGUGAACCAGCGGAGGGAUCAUUACCAGAGAUGCCAUCAGGCUCUCCAACCCACUGUGAACAUACCUACGUUCCCCCGGCGGGGUCAGCGCGCGGCGGCCUCAGCGCCCCUCGCGUCCGCCGGGGGCCCCCAAACCCGAAUUUACAGCGUGUCUUCUGAGGGGCGAAAGCCCGUAAAAACAAAUGAAUCAAAACUUUCAACAACGGAUCUCUUGGCUCUGGCAUCGAUGAAGAACGCAGC